AUACGGGAGGCAGCAGUGGGGAAUAUUGGACAAUGGGCGCAAGCCUGAUCCAGCCAUGCCGCGUGGAUGAUGAAGGCCCUAGGGUUGUAAAGUCCUUCCGGCGGGGAAGAUAAUGACGGUACCCGCAGAAGAAGCCCCGGCUAACUUCGUGCCAGCAGCCGCGGUAAUACGAAGGGGGCUAGCGUUGCUCGGAAUCACUGGGCGUAAAGCGCACGUAGGCGGCUUUCUAAGUCAGGGGUGAAAUCCUGGAGCUCAACUCCAGAACCGCCUUUGAUACUGGAGAGCUAGAGUCCGGAAGAGGCGAGUGGAACUGCGAGUGUAGAGGUGAAAUUCGUAGAUAUUCGCAAGAACACCAGUGGCGAAGGCGGCUCACUGGUCCGGUACUGACGCUGAGGUGCGAAAGCGUGGGGAGCAAACAGGAUUAGAUACCCGUGUAGUCCC
rnacentral:rRNA from 1 species